rnacentral:rRNA from 1 species
CAGUAGCCGCGGUAAUGCGUAGGUGGCAAGCGUUGUCCGGAAUUAUUUGGCGUAAAGGGCUCGCAGGCGGUUUCUUAAGUCUGAUGUGAAAGCCCCCGGCUCAACCGGGGAGGGUCAUUGGAAACUGGGAAACUUGAGUGCGGAAGAGGAGAGUGGAAUUCCACGUGUAGCGGUGAAAUGCGUAGAGAUGUGGAGGAACACCAGUGGCGAAGGCGACUCUCUGGUCUGUAACUGACGCUGAGGAGCGAAAGCGUGGGGAGCGAACAGGAUUAGAUACCCCAGUAGUCCCUGUCUCUUAUAC